UACAGAGGUCUCAAGCGUUGUUCGGAUUCAUUGGGCGUAAAGGGCGCGUAGGCUGCGGGGUAAGUCGGGUGUGAAAUCUCAGAGCUCAACUCUGAAACUGCACUCGAUACUGCUUUGCUUGAGGACUGGAGAGGAGAUUGGAAUUCACGGUGUAGCAGUGAAAUGCGUAGAUAUCGUGAGGAAGACCAGUGGCGAAGGCGGGUCUCUGGACAGUUCCUGACGCUGAGGCACGAAGGCCAGGGGAGCAAACGGG
rnacentral:rRNA from 1 species